CCGCUUACCCUGCAGGCGCGCCCGCUCGCCGUCUUCGACCGCUUCGAGGUCGACCCCCCUGCGGGCAAGCUCGAUCGGGAAUUGCAGCGCCGCCUCGCGAUCGCGCUGACAGUUCGUCUUGGUCUGCGCUGCCUUUUCCCCUUCCAUCCGAGCACAUUGCUCACUUCAGACUCCUGUCUGGUCGUCUCCACAAGAACACAUCCGCAAAUCUACCGGGCCGGCUUACGACAGGCUCCAGCCACGCCGCUACCACCCUCAUCGCCGGCCCCUCCCCGCCUCCUCCUUGUUCCCACCAAAAGAACUUCUGGAGCCAGCAUCCGCUGAUUUGCAGAGGGCUCACCCGCCGGGGCCAGCGACCAAGGUUGCUAACUUCAGAACUUCUCGUAAACAAAGAUUCGUUUGCAAAAUGCCUUGUCCCAGCCAACAGUCUGCUAAAGGAAAAGAAGUGGUAAAUGAACAUAACAACACAAAGAGCGCUCCAACAGGCUUGGUAAUACAUGAGCCAUCCAACUCAAGAACCUUGAGUGGAACAUCCUCAGAUGAUGAAGAUGUUCUAAACGAGUUAGCUGCAAGUUUUCCUACUCACAGUAUCCUCACAUCGAUCAAAGGCUUUGAACAAGGAGAGAGCU